rnacentral:lncRNA from 1 species
CUCCUGCAGCCUGGAAGAAAACAUUGAAAAAUAUGCAAAAUUAAUUCACUAACUGUGAUGAAAAAUGUAUGAUGAUCAACAAGUUGUUUCCCUGUUGAACUCACCAAGUAAAAAUUACAGGGACAUAAAAAAUGCCCUAAAAUAUAGGAGAGAAGAUCUUACUGUUCACAUUAUAAUUUCUGCUUUAAGGAAUAAAGAACUUGAAUUACAAACUGAGUCUGAAGAUUUUAAAAUUGGAGAAAG